GAUGAACGCUAGCGGCAGGCCUAAUACAUGCAAGACGAACGGUAAGUUGAGUAGCAAUACUUAGCCAAGAGUGUCGUACGGGUGCGUAACAUGUAUGCAACCUACCCUAUACAGGAGGAUAGCCUAGGGAAACCUGGAUUAACCCUUCAUAGUAUUAUUGGAUGGCAUCAUUUGAUAAUUAAAACUGAGGUGGUAUAGGAUGGGCAUGCGUCUGAUUAGUUAGUUGGCGGGGUAAUGGCCCACCAAGACGAUGAUCAGUAGGGGUUCUGAGAGGAAGAUCCCCCACACUGGCACUGAGAUACGGGCCAGACUCCUACGGGAGGCAGCAGUAGGGAGUAUUGGUCAAUGGAUGCAAGUCUGAACCAGCCAUGCCGCGUGCAGGAAGAAGGCCUUCU
rnacentral:rRNA from 1 species